CACUGUCAACUUCCAAUUUUAUAUCCAGUGAAAAUGUUCUUCAAAGAUGAAGGCAAAAUAAAGACAUUUCAGUUAAGCCAAAGCCAAGAGAAUGCAUCGCUAGUGAGUUUGCACUACAAGGAAUGCUAAGGGAAGUUCUUCAGGCUGAAGGAAAAGGAUACGAGAUGGACACAGGAGUUUACACAAAGGAAUGAAGAGUAAAUAUGGUCCCGCCCACACUGAAGAAAAGUGACAUGGAUACAAGACAUAGAUAUCAGGGAGUGGGAAUCUUGGGAUUCUGCCUACUGCAAGCCCUGAAUGAGAGGCCUCUGAAUGGCUCUGUGCCUCUCUUAGGGAAAAUAGAUGAGGCCAAACAGAAGCCGUAUGUGGUGACCUGUGCGAUGCGUUAGUUACUUAUAUAAACUGAACAAAGCAGUCUAACAAUCCUGUAAAUAUCACACAUAAAGAUGAACCAGCUAGUGUCAUGUCGGUAUUUCUAAAGAUAAAGUAAAUCAGUACUACUGGCACCAUCGGUUUUUGUGUGGUCCCAUCUCCAAAAAGCACGAAAUACAAAUUUAUACCCAAAAACGUGUUUUAUGAAUUCAAAUCACCAGCAUGAUUUUAGCAUGUAUGAAAUGUACAAAUCCUUAUUGUAAAGUAAGUUUUGAAAGCUUGCAUGUACUGUGAAGCAUGAGCUUUUGCAAAGAGAGUGAAAUAUG